AUGUGGUCUAAGGUUAAUUCCAAAAAUUGGUGCCGAGUCUUGAUUUCAUUCUCUAAAUCCCCCAUGACCAUAAACUUGAUGUCCAAACCUCUCUUUGCUAAAUCAGAACAACCCUGCAAAAUUCAAUGCAUCAUUCACACAUUAUCAACUUGUUACAUCAGUACAUAG